rnacentral:lncRNA from 1 species
CACGCUCUCUGUGCAUCUCGUGGGUACGCAACCGGCUGGGAUGCCACCGGGGCACAACCCUGUAUUCAGGCUGAUAGCACCCGGAGGCAGGGCUUCUACCCAGCAAACCUGUUAGAGGAGAGCAAUCGGGGAGCCUGGGCAGCUGUGACCGGUGUCUGCGUGCCCCUCAGCUGCCUGAGGCUACUCACUUCCUUGCUUGCAUGUGGGUAGCCACAGUGGCAAGUUCCAACAGUUUCUUCAGUCGAGGCCCCCACCCCCACCCCCUUUGCAGUUUGAGUCACCUUCAAUUUCCUGCCUGCCAGCCUAGUCCCUGAUUGGCCUGAUAAAUCCAGGACCGCUUUGAUUGCUUUUGGCAAAAACAUUGCCGGUAAGAUUUACGGAGCCAAAAGCUGGGACAAUGUAAUCUUCAGAGUAACUUACACAGUGAGUUUCAAA